UGCAGAGUGUUGACUGUUUAUGCUCAUAACUGGAGGCUGAUGAGGGUUCGUGGCUCUGCCGCAGCCAGCCUUGACAGUGGACAACCCUGGAUCAAUGCCCUUGGGCUUUUGAGCAAAGUUCCAACAAGUAUAGCAUAGCACAGUGAAGAAACGCUCUGCCAAGAAGGGAGAGUUAGGCUUGAGACUUCAAAUUCCAGAUCCAAGAACUUGCUGGUUUUAAAAAUUCAGAACUUACUGAAGCGUGAAGCAGUGUUUCUUGCCUGCAUUUAUUCUUGAAACGACAGUGCUCUUCAAAGUCAUUUCUACCUGUAAUCCAACCAGUCUUAGGUACUUGAAUUUGCUACUAAUAAAAUUUAUAUUCACAUGAAAGAAACAAAGUUUCCAAUCUCAUAUGACACCAAAUCCUCAACUGAACCCACAGAUACUGUGAGUUUUCAAAUUUUUAAAUGAUACAGAUAUUUUUAAAAUAUAUCUGUUUUUUUUCCUCAUAAGAAUAUUGUUGCCUCCUCCUGUUUUUCCUUUACUUCUUACCACCCAGGUGUCUACAUAAGCACAGAAAACAGCCUCCUCCAGU